UAGCUAUGUUGUGGGCAGCGAUGUAGUAAUUCUUUGAAUUGCUCCCAUGCUUCAUAUAGUUGUUCUAUAUCAAACUGUCUAAAUUUCCUAAUUUCACUUCUCAACUA